rnacentral:rRNA from 1 species
GAUGAACGCUAGCGGGAGGCUUAAUACAUGCAAGUCGAGGGGUAACAUGAGAGCUUGCUCUUGAUGACGACCGGCGCACGGGUGAGUAACGCGUACACAACCUACCUCUAAGUGGGGAAUAGCCUUUGGAAACGAAGAGUAAUACCCCAUAGCAUUAUUUCUUUUUAUGAUGAAAUAAUUAAAGCUCCGGCGCUUAGAGAUGGGUGUGCGUCCCAUUAGCUUGUUGGUAAGGUAACGGCUUACCAAGGCGACGAUGGGUAGGGGGCGUGAGAGCGUGACCCCCCACACGGGUACUGAGACACGGACCCGACUCCUACGGGAGGCAGCAGUAAGGAAUAUUGGACAAUGGGCGAAAGCCUGAUCCAGCCAUCC